GACGAACGCUGGCGGCGUGCUUAACACAUGCAAGUCGAACGGAAAGGCCCUGCUUUUGUGGGGUGCUCGAGUGGCGAACGGGUGAGUAACACGUGAGUAACCUGCCCUUGACUGUGGGAUAACUUCAGGAAACUGGGGCUAAUACCGGAUAGGAGCUCCUGCUGCAUGGUGGGGGUUGGAAAGUUUCGGCGGUUGGUGAUGGAAUCGCGGCUUAUCAGCUUGUUGGUUGGGUAGUGGCUUACCAAGGCUUUGACGGGUAGCCGGCCUGAGAGGGUGACCGGCCAAAUUGGGAUUGAGAUACGGCACAGACUACUACGGGAGGCAGCAGUGGGGAAUAGUGUACAAUGGGCGGAAGCCUGAUGCAGCAACGCCGCGUGCGGGAUGACGGCAUUCGGGUUGUAAACCGAUUUCGCCUGUGACGAAGCGUGAGUGACGGUAAUGGGUAAAGAAGCACCGGCUAACUACGUG
rnacentral:rRNA from 1 species